CCAAAACCUUGGAGAUUUUUAAAAAAUAUUUUUAUAUUUAAAAAAAAAAAAAAGUUUCCAAGAAUUAAAUAACACGAAAGUGUAUGAAAUAUGAUGUAGGGAAUGUUCCCAUUGCACUCACAUCUGAAGUUAAUUUGGGAGACGCUCUGAAUAGCUUUUUAAAGAGUGGAUAAACAUUGGCAUCAAAAGUGUAAAUAAAGUUACCAGACAAAGCGGCCGUUCAAAGGGAAUUGUCUCUGGGAUAUUGGCCGGGCAGCUUUAAUGACUGCAUGCAGGAACAUUUGAAGAUAAAAUAAGGGCCUCGCUGAUUAGCUUGGGCUGAGUUUCUCUGCUUGGUCUCCCUCUCAUGAUGUCACAUUCGAGCAGUGCUGGCAGCUGCUCGCCAAUGGUUUCCUACCCGGCGGUGUCUCCGGUGGGGGUUCCCAUGGCCACAGCACCCAGCAGCCAUCCCACUGCUGCUCCGCACCUGCUGGUGGAUCGCCCGCUGUGCCUCAGCAGGAAGCCUUGACUCCAGAGUCUCUUCCCCAAGUGAUGAAGAGCAAACCUCGCUCUGGUUGGUCCCACAGCACUGCUGCUAACCACAGCAGCAGCAGCAGCUCUCCGCACUCCCACCACAUGCAGAACCCAGCACAGCUGGGAUGCUGCUCACCCAGGCAUUGUCCAGAGGGAGCGCCAUUCCCCCGGAGACCGUGGCAUGGAUUUUGUUGCAAAUAACUCAAUAAUGACACUGCAACUCCUUCUUUGCCCAGGACUCGCCUGCACACUGUGGCAGACUCCUGCUCAAGCGUUGGAGGGCCGGAAUCCCUGAUGGAGGUUCCAUGAAUGCCUUUGGGGUGGAGGACCUCAACACCACAGAGCUGUUCUGGAGGAGGAAGAGGAGGAGGAGGAGGAGGAGCUCAGUGCAGGGCCUCACAGCACGGUGCCAUCCAGGGGGGACAGGAGCUGGUCCUCCCCACCCACCCCAGCACUGCGAGCAUCGGGAGGCAUCAGCCUUCGUGCCACUUGUGUAAACUAUUACAGCAAAGGGCAGAGGUUAAACGCAGCACAUGUGUGGCAUCAAUUAACAGGAUUUCAAGGUCUCUGGUGGAGUUUCUGCUCAAAUCUCCUGUGGCAGGUUUGGUUUUCUUAACCCCUCGGAUGCCAUGCGGUUGGCAGCCUCGGCUCUGCGCUGCUCCCUGCUGCUGCGGGGGUCCCCCAGGGCCACGUUGGGAGCAGCCUCAGUCAAUUUAGGCACAAGGGGACAGCACACAGCCCAUGGGUCUGG
ensembl:lncRNA